GGGUUGUGAGGUUAAGCGACUAAGCGUACACGGUGGAUGCCCUGGCAGUCAGAGGCGAUGAAGGGCGUGCUAAUCUGCGAUAAGCGCCGGUAAGGUGAUAUGAACCGUUAUAACCGGCGAUACCCGAAUGGGGAAACCCAGUGUGACUCGUCACACUAUCAUUAACUGAAUCCAUAGGUUAAUGAGGCGAACCGGGGGAACUGAAACAUCUAAGUACCCCGAGGAAAAGAAAUCAACCGAGAUUCCCCCAGUAGCGGCGAGCGAACGGGGAGGAGCCCAGAGCCUGAAUCAGCAUGUGUGUUAGUGGAAGCGUCUGGAAAGGCGCGCGAUACAGGGUGACAGCCCCGUACACAAAAGCGCAUGUGCUGUGAGCUCGAUGAGUAGGGCGGGACACGUGGUAUCCUGUCUGAAUAUGGGGGGACCAUCCUCCAAGGCUAAAUACUCCUGACUGACCGAUAGUGAACCAGUACCGUGAGGGAAAGGCGAAAAGAACCCCGGCGAGGGGAGUGAAAAAGAACCUGAAACCGUGUACGUACAAGCAGUGGGAGCACCCUUUGGGUGUGACUGCGUACCUUUUGUAUAAUGGGUCAGCGACUUAUAUUCUGUAGCAAGGUUAACCGAAUAGGGGAGCCGGAGGGAAACCGAGUCUUAAUUGGGCGUUAAGUUGCAGGGUAUAGACCCGAAACCCGGUGAUCUAGCCAUGGGCAGGUUGAAGGUUGGGUAACACUAACUGGAGGACCGAACCGACUAAUGUUGAAAAAUUAGCGGAUGACCUGUGGCUGGGGGUGAAAGGCCAAUCAAACCGGGAGAUAGCUGGUUCUCCCCGAAAGCUAUUUAGGUAGCGCCUCGUGAAUUCAUCUCCGGGGGUAGAGCACUGUUUCGGCUAGGGGGCCAUCCCGGCUUACCAACCCGAUGCAAACUGCGAAUACCGGAGAAUGUUAUCACGGGAGACACACGGCGGGUGCUAACGUCCGUCGUGAAGAGGGAAACAACCCAGACCGCCAGCUAAGGUCCCAAAGUCAUGGUUAAGUGGGAAACGAUGUGGGAAGGCCCAGACAGCCAGGAUGUUGGCUUAGAAGCAGCCAUCAUUUAAAGAAAGCGUAAUAGCUCACUGGUCGAGUCGGCCUGCGCGGAAGAUGUAACGGGGCUAAACCAUGCACCGAAGCUGCGGCAGCGACGCUUAUGCGUUGUUGGGUAGGGGAGCGUUCUGUAAGCCUG
rnacentral:rRNA from 1 species